CUUGGUCAUUUAGAGGAAGUAAAAGUCGUAACAAGGUCUCCGUUGGUGAACCAGCGGAGGGAUCAUUACCGAGUUUACAACUCCCAAACCCCUGUGAACAUACCACUUGUUGCCUCGGCGGAUCAGCCCGCUCCCGGUAAAACGGGACGGCCCGCCAGAGGACCCCUAAACUCUGUUUCUAUAUGUAACUUCUGAGUAAAACCAUAAAUAAAUCAAAACUUUCAACAACGGAUCUCUUGGUUCUGGCAUCGAUGAAGAACGCAGCAAAAUGCGAUAAGUAAUGUGAAUUGCAGAAUUCAGUGAAUCAUCGAAUCUUUGAACGCACAUUGCGCCCGCCAGCAUUCUGGCGGGCAUGCCUGUUCGAGCGUCAUUUCAACCCUCAAGCCCAGCUUGGUGUUGGGACUCGCGAGUCAAAUCGCGCUCCCCAAAUUGAUUGGCGGUCACGUCGAGCUUCCAUAGCGUAGUAGUAAAACCCUCGUUACUGGUAAUCGUCGCGGCCACGCCGUUAAACCCCAACUUCUGAAUGUUGACCUCGGAUCAGGUAGGAAUACCCGCUGAACUUAAGCAUAUCAAUAAGCGGAGGA
rnacentral:misc_RNA from 1 species